UUUUGUAACAAAUUCAGUAAUUCGCUACUUGGGGGCAGCAUUAGUCCACAUAUGAAAAAGAGAUCGAUGGCGAAACUGGGUUUUCCUACGGUGGCCCUGAGGUGCAAACCACUACAACAUUAACGAAGCACAAUUACAAAUUACAAAAGCACUACAACAUUAACGAAACCACCACGACAUUAACAAAAUGGAAAGUGUAUGUCCCAGUUGGAGACCUGAGAGAUCGCUGAUUGGAAGACAGUGCUUUUGAACCGGAAGUUAUCGCUUGAGCGGGUCGGCCCGUUGUUGCG